rnacentral:rRNA from 1 species
UCCGUAGGUGAACCUGCGGAAGGAUCAUUACCACACCUAAAAAACUUUCCACGUGAACCGUUUCAACCCAAUAGUUGGGGGUCUUAUUUGGCGGCGGCUGCUGGCUUAAUUGUUGGCGGCUGCUGCUGAGUGAGCCCUAUCAAAAAAAAGGCGAACGUUUGGGCUACGGCCUGAUUUAGUAGUCUUUUUUUCUUUUAAACCCAUUCCUUAAUACUGAAUAUACUGUGGGGACGAAAGUCUCUGCUUUUAACUAGAUAGCAACUUUCAGCAGUGGAUGUCUAGGCUCGCACAUCGAUGAAGAACGCUGCGAACUGCGACACGUAAUGCGAAUUGCAGGAUUCAGUGAGUCAUCGAAAUUUUGAACGCAUAUUGCACUUCCGGGUUAGUCCUGGAAGUAUGCCUGUAUCAGUGUCCGUACAUUAAACUUGACUUUCUUCCUUCCGUGUAGUCGGUGGAGGAGAUGUCAGAUGUGAAGUGUCUUGCGAUUGGUCUUCGGACCGGCUGCGAGUCCUUUUAAAUGUACUAAACUGAACUUCUCUUUGCUCGAAAAGUGGUGGCGUUGCUGGUUGUGAAGGCUGCUAUUGUGGCAAAUUGGCGACUGGUUUGUCUGCUGCGGCAUUAAUGGAAGAGUGUUCGAUUCGUGGUAUGGUUGGCUUCGGCUGAACAAUGCACUUAUUGGACGUUUUUCCUGCUGUGGCGUGAUGGGCUGGUGAACCAUAGCUCGGUGGCUUGGCUUUUGAAUUGGCUUUGCUGUUGCGAAGUAGGGUGGCAGCUUCGGUUGUCGAGGGUCGAUCCAUUUGGGAACUUAAUGUGUACUUCGGUAUGCAUCUCAAUUGGACCUGAUAUCAGGCAAGAUUACCCGCUGAACUUAAGCAUAUCAAUAAGCGGAGGA